GGGGACGACUGGUUUUGACAGCAAGACGCGUUAGAAUGUAAGCAUACCGAGGAAUGAAAUCAAGACUCGUUAAACUUAUUUCAACUUUUUUAAACGGCGAAGAUAACUACGCUUUAGCUGCUUAAUCCGAAUUACAGUAGGAUUGGCCUCGGCACACUAGGUGUGCAAGCUUUAUGUCCACGAAAAGCCUUGGUUUGCGGCGUUUCACUUUUGGGCAUCGUAAAUGUAAACAUAGAAAUGUUGGAGCUUCGACAUCAUUUUGAAACUAAAGAAGAUAAGCUUUUAGUGGAUUGUUUUUAAUCAGCUACUAGACGAAAAUUAAUUAAAAACUAAGUAUGUAGAAAGCCUUUUGGCCGCUUGUUUGGACCCGAGUUCGAUUCUCGGCGUCUCCAC
rnacentral:tmRNA from 1 species